UGGCGGACGGGUGAGUAAUGUCUGGGAAACUGCCUGAUGGAGGGGGAUAACUACUGGAAACGGUAGCUAAUACCGCAUAACGUCGCAAGACCAAAGAGGGGGACCUUCGGGACCUCUUGCCAUCGGAUGUGCCCAGAUGGGAUUAGCUAGUAGGUGGGGUAACGGCUCACCUAGGCGACGAUCCCUAGCUGGUCUGAGAGGAUGACCAGCCACACUGGAACUGAGACACGGUCCAG
rnacentral:rRNA from 1 species